GACGUAGGUGGCGAACGUUAUCCGGAAUCAUUGGGCGUAAAGGGUGCGUAGAUGGCCUGACAAGUUAACAGUGGUAAAUCGAGGCUCAACCUCGUGGAAACUGAUAAUACUGUCUGGCUCGAGUACAGAAGAGGUUAACGGAAUUCCAUGUGGAGCGGUAAAAUGCAUAGAUAUAUGGAAGAACACCAAUAACGGCGAAGGCAGUUAACUAUUCUGUUACUGACAUUGAGGCACGAAAGCGUGGGGAGCAAACGG
rnacentral:rRNA from 1 species